GAGUGAAGCGGGAAAAGCUCAAAUUUAAAAUCUGGCGGUCUUUGGCCGUCCGAGUUGUAGUCUGGAGAAGCGUCUUCCGCGCUGGACCGUGUACAAGUCUCUUGGAACAGAGCGUCAUAGAGGGUGAGAAUCCCGUCUUUGACACGGACUACCAGUGCUUUGUGAUGCGCUCUCAAAGAGUCGCGUUGUUUGGGAAUGCAGCGCAAAAUGGGAGGUGAAUUCCUUCUAAAGCUAAAUAUUGGCGAGAGACCGAUAGCGAACAAGUACCGUGAGGGAAAGAUGAAAAGCACUUUGGAAAGAGAGUUAAACAGUACGUGAAAUUGCUGAAAGGGAAACGCUUGAAGUCAGUCGCGUCGUCCGGAACUCAGCCUUGCUUCGGCUUGGUGCACUUUCCGGUUGACGGGCCAGCAUCGAUUUUGACCGCUGGAAAAGGGCUGGAGGAAUGUGGCACCUUCGGGUGUGUUAUAGCCUUCAGUCGCAUACAGCGGUUGGGAUCGAGGAACGCAGCGCGCCUUAUGGCUGGGGUUCGCCCACAUUCGCGCUUAGGAUGCUGGCAUAAUGGCUUUAAACGACCCGUCUUGAAACACGGACCAAGGAGUCUAACAUGCCUGCGAGUGUUUGGGUGGAAAACCCGAGCGCGUAAUGAAAGUGAAAGUUGAGACCUCUGUCGUGGAGGGCAUCGACGCCCGGACCUGAAGUUUUCUGACGGAUCCGCGGUAGAGCAUGUAUGUUGGGACCCGAAAGAUGGUGAACUAUGCCUGAAUAGGGUGAAGCCAGAGGAAACUCUGGUGGAGGCUCGUAGCG
rnacentral:rRNA from 1 species